rnacentral:rRNA from 1 species
UACAUGGGGUGCAAACGUUGCUCGGAAUUAUUGGGCGUAAAGCGCACGUAGGCGGUUCGUUAAGUCGGAUGUGAAAGCCCUCGGCUCAACUGAGGAAGUGCACCCGAAACUGGCGAGCUUGAGUACGAAAGAGGAUCGCGGAAUUCCCGGUGUAGAGGUGAAAUUCGUAGAUAUUGGGAAGAACACCGGUGGCGAAGGCGGCUCACUGGCUCGUAACUGACGCUCAUGCACGACAGCGUGGGGAUCAAACAGG